GAAGACCCCUGUUCCCCUCACAGAGCUACAAUUCUCAGAGGAGCUUGGCAAUCCCUAUUGCCAGGAAAUUCUGGGAAUUGUAGCUCUGUGAGGGGAACAGGGGUCUA